rnacentral:rRNA from 1 species
GACGAACGCUGGCGGCGCGCCUAACACAUGCAAGUCGAACGGUGAAGAGGAGCUUGCUCCUCGGAUCAGUGGCGGACGGGUGAGUAACACGUGAGCAACCUGGCUCUAAGAGGGGGACAACAGUUGGAGACGACUGCUAAUACCGCAUAACGUAUCGGGAUGGCAUCUUCCUGAUACCAAAGAUUUUAUCGCUUAGAGAUGGGCUCGCGUCUGAUUAGAUAGUUGGCGGGGUAACGGCCCACCAAGUCGACGAUCAGUAGCCGGCCUGAGAGGGUGAACGGCCACAUUGGGACUGAGACACGGCCCAAACUCCUACGGGAGGCAGCAGUGGGGAAUAUUGCACAAUGGGGGAAACCCUGAUGCAGCGACGCCGCGUGAGUGAUGAAGUAUUUCGGUAUGUAAAAACUCUAUCAGCAGGGAAGAUAAUGACGGUACCUGACUAAGAAGCACCGGCUAAAAUACGUGCCAGCAGCC